rnacentral:rRNA from 1 species
UACGAAGGGGGCUAGCGUUGUUCGGAAUCACUGGGCGUAAAGCGCACGUAGGCGGACCGUUAAAGUCGGAGGUGAAAGCCUGGGGCUCAACCCCAGAACUGCCUUCGAUACUGGCGGUCUUGAGUAUGGUAGAGGUUGGUGGAACUCCGAGUGUAGAGGUGAAAUUCGUAGAUAUUCGGAAGAACACCAGUGGCGAAGGCGGCCAACUGGACCAUUACUGACGCUGAGGUGGCGAAAGCGUGGGGAGCAACAGG